UACGUAGGGGGCUAGCGUUGUCCGGAAUCAUUGGGCGUAAAGAGCUCGUAGGCGGUCUGUUGCGUCGGCUGUGAAAACCCGGGGCUCAACCCCGGGCCUGCAGCCGAUACGGGCAGACUAGAGUUCGGCAGGGGGAGACUGGAAUUCCUGGUGUAGCGGUGAAAUGCGUAGAUAUCUGGAGGAACACCGGUGGCGAAGGCGGCAUCCUGGACCGAUAUUGACGCUGAUGCGCGAAAGCCAGGGGAGCAAACGGG
rnacentral:rRNA from 1 species